GGUGGGCCAAAAAGUUCUUUGGGGUUUUUCUGUAACAUCUUAUGGAAAAAUCCGAACGAACUUUUGGGCCAACC
rnacentral:miRNA from 1 species